CAAGUCGAGCGGAAACGAGUUAUCUGAACCUUCGGGGAACGAUAACGGCGUCGAGCGGCGGACGGGUGAGUAAUGCCUAGGAAAUUGCCCUGAUGUGGGGGAUAACCAUUGGAAACGAUGGCUAAUACCGCAUAAUACCUACGGGUCAAAGAGGGGGACCUUCGGGCCUCUCGCGUCAGGAUAUGCCUAGGUGGGAUUAGCUAGUUGGUGAGGUAAUGGCUCACCAAGGCGACGAUCCCUAGCUGGUCUGAGAGGAUGAUCAGCCACACUGGAACUGAGACACGGUCCAGACUCCUACGGGAGGCAGCAGUGGGGAAUAUUGCACAAUGGGCGCAAGCCUGAUGCAGCCAUGCCGCGUGUGUGAAGAAGGCCUUCGGGUUGUAAAGCACUUUCAGUCGUGAGGAAGGUAGUGUAGUUAAUAGCUGCAUUAUUUGACGUUAGCGACAGAAGAAGCACCGGCUAACUCCGUGCCAGCAGCCGCGGUAAUACGGAGGGUGCGAGCGUUAAUCGGAAUUACUGGGCGUAAAGCGCAUGCAGGUGGUUUGUUAAGUCAGAUGUGAAAGCCCGGG
rnacentral:rRNA from 1 species